AGAGUUUGAUCCUGGCUCAGGACGAACGCUGGCGGCGUGCCUAACACAUGCAAGUCGAAACGGGGUAAUUCCUUCGGGGAUUACUUAGUGGCGAACGGGUGAGUAACGCGUGAGGAACCUGCCUUUCAGUGGGGGACAACAGUUGGAAACGACUGCUAAUACCGCAUAAUGUUGUCGGAUGGCAUCAUCUGGCAACCAAAGCUUUAUGUGCUGAAAGAUGGCCUCGCGUCUGAUUAGAUAGUUGGUGAGGUAACGGCUCACCAAGUCAACGAUCAGUAGCCGGACUGAGAGGUUGAACGGCCACAUUGGGACUGAGAUACGGCCCAGACUCCUACGGGAGGCAGCAGUGGGGAAUAUUGGGCAAUGGGGGAAACCCUGACCCAGCAACGCCGCGUGAAGGAAGAAGGCCUUCGGGUUGUAAACUUCUUUUAGCAGGGACGAAGGACGUGACGGUACCUGCAGAAAAAGCAACGGCUAACUACGUGCCAGCAGCCGCGGU
rnacentral:rRNA from 1 species